rnacentral:rRNA from 1 species
UGCAAGUCGAACGAAUAGCAAUACUUAGUGGCAGACGGGUGAGUAACAUGUAGGUAUCUUCCCUUUGGCCUGGAAUAACACGAGGAAACUUGUGCUAAUACUGGAUAAGUCUUUACGGAGAAAGCUUUAUGCACCAUUGGAUGAGCCUGCACUUGAUUAGUUUGUUGGUAGGGUAAUGGCCUACCAAGACUGUGAUCAAUAGCUGAUUUGAGAGGAUGAUCAGCCACAUUGGGACUGAGACACGGCCCAAACUCCUACGGGAGGCAGCAGUGGGGAAUCUUGCACAAUGGAGGAAACUCUGAUGCAGCGAUGCCGCGUGAGUGAAGAAGGCCCUUGGGUUGUAAAGCUCUUUCGUCGGGGAAGAAAAUGACUGUACCCGAAUAAGAAGGUCCGGCUAACUUCGUGCCAGCAGCCGCGGUAAUACGAAGGGACCUAGCGUAGUUCGGAAUUACUGGGCUUAAAGAGUUCGUAGGUGGUUGAAAAAGUUGGUAGUGAAAUCCCAGAGCUUAACUCUGGAACUGCCAUCAAAACUUUUCAGCUAGAGUUUGAUAGAGGAAAGCAGAAUUUCUAGUGUAGAGGUGAAAUUCGUAGAUAUUAGAAAGAAUACCAAUUGCGAAGGCAGCUUUCUGGAUCAUUACUGACACUGAGGAACGAAAGCAUGGGUAGCGAAGAGGAUUAGAUACCCUCGUAGUCCAUGCCGUAAACGAUGUGUGUUAGACGUUGGAAAUUUAUUUUCAGUGUCGCAGCGAAAGCGAUAAACACACCGCCUGGGGAGUACGACCGCAAGGUUAAAACUCAAAUGAAUUGACGGGGACCCGCACAAGUAGUGGAGCAUGUGGUUUAAUUCGAAGAUACGCGCAGAACCUUACCAACACUUGACAUGUUCGUCGCGACUUUAAGAGAUUAAAGUUUUCGGUUCGGCCGGACG